GAAGGAAGAUCUUUGGGAUGUACUGUGGCUCAUGCUUGAAAGAGAAGCUGAUUCUCCGAGUUUUGAGUGCUCAAUCCCACUGUGUUGCUUAAUUGGAUCAGUCUGUUAAGGCUCAAAACAGUCUGAUAGGAAGAAGACGUAACAUCCUGAUUCCCAAGUUACACACCAUCCUGUCCCACACUGGUAAGGCACUGGCAUGCUACAGAAGAAGUCCACAAAGCGAUAGCAGCAGAAACAAUGGGCCAAGAGAGUCCUGCCUAAGAAUCAAUACUUCUGUUGCCAUCAUGAAAGAGAGCAUCAACAUGGGCUUGUGAAGAGGGCCUUCAGUAUGCCAGCCAAGCCCUCUGCCAUGGAGCCAGGUUGAAUUGUCUUCUCUUCAAAGGAUACCUGUGACUGUGAAAGUGACCUUUUUUGGAAAUGAGAGCUUUGCAGAUGUAAUGAAGUUAAGAUGGAGUCAUGCUAGAUUAGAGUGGGCCUUAAAUCCAAUGAUGGGUGUCUUGGUAAGAAGAGGAGAGGAAACAAGGACACACAUGGAAGAAUGGCAUAUGGUAAUGGAGGCAGAGACGGGAGCUAUGUGUCCAAGCUAAGGGAUUGCUGGCAACGAGUGGAAGGUGCAAGAAGCUAGGGAGUAUUCUUCCCUAGAACAUUCAGAGGAAGCACGGUCCUACCCACAUGUUUUGGUCUUCUGACCUCUAGAAUUGUGAGUAAAUAAAUUUUUGCUGU